GGCGGACGGGUGAGUAACACGUGAGUAACCUGCCUUUUACACAGGGAUAGCCUCGGGAAACCGGGAUUAAAACCUGAUGAAACUAUCAAAUCACAUGAUUAAGAAAGUUAAAACUCCGGUGGUAAAAGAUGGACUCGCGUCCCAUUAGCUAGUUGGUGAAGGUAACGGCCCACCAAGGCAACGAUGGGUAGCCGGCCUGAGAGGGUGAACGGCCACAUUGGAACUGAGAAACGGUCCAAACUCCUACGGGAGGCAGCAGUGGGGAAUAUUGCACAAUGGGGGAAACCCUGAUGCAGCGACGCCGCGUGAGCGAAGAAGGCCUUCGGGUCGUAAAGCUCUUUUAUAUGGGAAGAUAAUGACGGUACCAUAAGAAAAAGCCCCGGCUAACUACGUGCCAGCAGCCGCGGUAAUACGUAGGGGGCUAGCGUUGUCCGGAAUCACUGGGCGUAAAGGGUUCGCAGGCGGCAAUGCAAGUCAGAUGUAAAAGGCAAAGGCUCAACCUUUGUAAGCAUCUGAAACUGUAUAGCUUGAGAAGUGUAGAGGCAAGUGGAAUUUUUAGUGUAGCGGUGAAAUGCGUAGAUAUUAAAAA
rnacentral:rRNA from 1 species